UUGGGAGCACCUGAAAAUAAAGGUCUUUCUUCAUCCACAGAAGUGGUGCAGUGUGGGGAACAGUAGUGCAAGUUUCCCCACACACUGCCUCACUAAUGUGUUUCAGUACUAUUCUGAAGGCUCUGCCCUAAGGGGAGAGAUGAUAGGUUGGUCCCCUUCAGUCCUUGGCCUCC
rnacentral:sRNA from 1 species